rnacentral:rRNA from 1 species
CGGCCGGGGUGCUUACCAUGCAGUCGAGCGGAAAGGCCCUUCGGGGUACUCGAGCGGCGAACGGGUGAGUAACACGUGAGUAAUCUGCCUUCAGCUUUGGGAUAACCCUCGGAAACGGGGGCUAAUACCGGGUAUGACUUCUCGCCGCAUGGUGGGGGGUGGAAAGUUUUUUGGCUGGAGAUGAGCUCGCGGCCUAUCAGCUUGUUGGUGGGGUGAUGGCCUACCAAGGCGACGACGGGUAGCCGGCCUGAGAGGGCGACCGGCCACACUGGGACUGAGACACGGCCCAGACUCCUACGGGAGGCAGCAGUGGGGAAUAUUGCACAAUGGGCGGAAGCCUGAUGCAGCGACGCCGCGUGAGGGAUGACGGCCUUCGGGUUGUAAACCUCUUUCGACCCUGACGAAGCGUGAGUGACGGUAGGGGGAGAAGAAGCGCCGGCCAACUACGUGCCAGCAGCCGCGGUAAGACGUAGGGCGCGAGCGUUGUCCGGAUUUAUUGGGCGUAAAGAGCUCGUAGGCGGCUCGUUGCGUCGGCUGUGAAAACCCGUGGCUUAACUGCGGGCUUGCAGCCGAUACGGGCGGGCUGGAGUUCGGUAGGGGAGACUGGAAUUCCUGGUGUAGCGGUGAAAUGCGCAGAUAUCAGGAGGAACACCGGUGGCGAAGGCGGGUCUCUGGGCCGAUACUGACGCUGAGGAGCGAAAGCGUGGGGAGCGAACAGGAUUAGAUACCCUGGUAGUCCACGCUGUAAACGUUGGGCGCUAGGUGUGGGGGGCCUCUCCGGUUCUCUGUGCCGCAGCUAACGCAUUAAGCGCCCCCGCCUGGGGGAGUAC